rnacentral:rRNA from 1 species
AUGGCAUUGUCAUGAGCCUUUGCUCAACUAGACUAUCGGAGUUUGAUCAUGGUAAAUGAAGGAACUCAGACCCGAUCUAGACAACUUGAGAAGAAAGUUAGAGCUAUGAGAGAAUUCAUGGAUAAGAUCCAAGCAGAUCUAGCCGAACGGAUGCAACAACAGGUUGAAGAGUUUCAAGCUCAAAUACAAUUACAACAACAGUUUGAGAAGCAAAAAAUUUCUUCUAUUUUUGAAAUAUAG